GUUUUCCUGCUGUAGCCUCACCUUGCUGCUGAGCACAGAGUAGGAGCCUGCUGGGUGCCAGGCUGAGAGAAAUCCCACACUCCUUGAGUGACAUCAAACCUCUCUUCUACGUGAUAAUGCAGCUCCCAGACACGUAGGUUGGACAGAAAGGUCCUGGAUGUGGAACUGCGCACAGAGGCAGUUUUGGUUAUCCAAAGUUCUUAAACAGUAAUUUCUUGUUGACCAGAAAGGAAGAAUUGAGUUAUUUCCAGUUGCCAGUGCACAUAAAAGCAAUUUUUCCACAUUUUCUAUAGAAAGCCCAUCUGAGAUUGCAGGGAUGUGCUGAUAUUUUGGAAAGUUCACCUCGAUUAUUUUUUGCACUUCUGCUUCCAGUACGACAGUGUGUCAUCUCAUCGGAGUGAAAACCUUUCAGGCUGGGACAGCUUCUCACUUAUCAUGGAGGGGGAAAAAAAUCAUUCUUAUUUAUGUUAUCUGCUAUCAAUAUGUAAUAACAACGUGCAAGUAGGAUGGAAGAUGUGAUUUCACCUCCAGCUGGACUUUGCAUGUAAGGUUCUCCUAAUGAGAAAAUAAGUUUAUUCAGUGCCUGCCAUAAUGAAUCCCCUGUUUGAUAUGAAGUUGUUUUGGCUCUGCAUUCAUAGGAAUGAUCUGAAAUAUACAGCUGUUGGAAUUCAUUUUAUAUAGGGAUAGAGAUAAUAAAAUUGCAGAAAAAAAAUGUAACAAUAACAG
ensembl:lncRNA